AUUGAACGCUGGCGGCAGGCCUAACACAUGCAAGUCGAGCGGCAGCGGGAAAGUAGCUUGCUACUUUUGCCGGCGAGCGGCGGACGGGUGAGUAAUGCCUGGGGAUCUGCCCAGUCGAGGGGGAUAACUACUGGAAACGGUAGCUAAUACCGCAUACGCCCUACGGGGGAAAGCAGGGGACCUUCGGGCCUUGCGCGAUUGGAUGAACCCAGGUGGGAUUAGCUAGUUGGUGAGGUAAUGGCUCACCAAGGCGACGAUCCCUAGCUGGUCUGAGAGGAUGAUCAGCCACACUGGAACUGAGACACGGUCCAGACUCCUACGGGAGGCAGCAGUGGGGAAUAUUGCACAAUGGGGGAAACCCUGAUGCAGCCAUGCCGCGUGUGUGAAGAAGGCCUUCGGGUUGUAAAGCACUUUCAGCGAGGAGGAAAGGUUGGUAGCUAAUAACUGCCAGCUGUGACGUUACUCGCAGAAGAAGCACCGGCUAACUCCAUGCCAGCCGCCGCGGUAAAAC
rnacentral:rRNA from 1 species